GUAAACGUGGAAUUGGCCAACUGAGUGUCAGCGAACAUCAUUCAUGUCCAGAAGGAAGGAACAUGAGCAGAAGAAGAGGGGAUCAGGGGAGGCAAGCAGGAGUCCAGGCUUGCCAGUGUUUAACAUGUUGAGGAAUGAUGGCUGGAGAGGACAGGACAGCAGGGAAUCCGAUUGGAGGAGAAGGAGAUCGCCUCUGCAAUGGAGGACAGACGACUCUAGAAGACCAACGUUUCAUCCUGUCGACGACCACAUGAUGACAGCAAGGGAUCUUUGACUUGGUGUAAUACCGUGAACAUGUUGAAGAUGGAUCUUGGCCCUGCGCUACAACAUUAAGCAGACACAUAUGACAGCUCACGCUUAAUCCCUGAUUUUAAUCCACUUUUAAUUAUUCAAAUUCAAGGAAAAACAACAAGAUAUAUAAAAAAUCUGUUGAGUAAGAGAGAAAACUACCAGAAAUUGAACAGCCUACCAAACAUUAACACCUACAGUAAAAUAGCUUAGGCUACAUAUUCAACAAAGGAUUAACGUACUGUAGGUCUGUGAGUGCAUAGCAUUCAAAUGCCCCUCUCUCUUUCUAUCUCUCUCUCUGUGUGCGUAUGUCUGAACAUGCUCAUAUACUGUACACAUUUUACAUACCCGUAAACUCACUGACUAAGAAUCAUUGCUCCCCAGAGCCAUGGAUUAAAAACAAUACAUUCACCAGGAAAUCCUCUCCACUAGCACUGACCCCAUUGUGUUUAUAACUCGUCUUUAAAUGAAGUCAACUUGGACAACCUGGGUUCAUAAAUUCAGCCGUGGAGUCUCUUUCUCCCCCUCCUUCCUCCUUUUCUCAGUGGAUUUACUGAGGAGAAAUAACUGUCAGGGCAAAUGCCUGGUAAAGUGCUGGACAAGGGACCAGCGGAGGGGGAGUAUUUAUCACGGUAUUGACUUUGUGACUGCAGGUGUCGUGAACUCUUUUGCCAUAAACUGGAGCAUUCGGAGCGAGCGCAGGCGAUCGAUACGGGGAAAACUGCUGUCAGGUCCUCUCCCAAGGAGCAUUGCUUUUGUUAUAGCCACUUAGCGGUCUGAUAAAUGCCCCGCCGCGGAGAGAGAUUGGAGAGAGGAGGCGAGAGGGGAGCAGAGCAGAGAGAGAUGGUA